GUUUAAUAUAGUAUAAAGCUUAAUUAUGAAACUGUCCGGUUUAUUAGUUUUGAUUAUGGCCAUAUUGGCUGUUUUUGUAAGUCAUGGUGCUGCAGACCCUAAAGUGAACACGGCAGCUUUAAAGAAGGGCGCUAAAAUUGGCGGCAAGCUUCUUGGUGCAGCCGGAGCCGCGGGAACAGUCCACGACCUUUACAAGAACAGACAUGGAGGAAGCGGUUAAUUCAAUAAUUAAAUAAUGAAGUUAUUAAAAUUGUAAAGAAAAAGUUAAUUAAAGUACUUAUUUUAUA